UGCAAGCAGAUGAGCAGGGGCUGCCUGAAAUUUGCUCAGCUAUGCUGCAGUGCACGUGGAGGGGGCUCACGUUUCACCAGUGCUUGUAGCGUGGCUCACUCCAGGGAGAGGUUCCUCCACUUGUGAUGGAGCCUGGCAGCAAUGUUAUUACUGUAGUGGCCUGGAUUUGCAGCUUCACAUUCUUGUUGUCUCUCUCCUAAGGUGUGCUCAGAAUUUUAUUUUUUUUGCGCCUAACUUAGCAGAAAAAUAAUCAUGAGAAUUUAUACCACUACAAUUUCUGUUCCCAGAAGAACUGUAGCAGAUGAAAGACGCUGGAGGAGGAGGAAGAUGGCAAGAAGCGUCGUUCACUGGAAUGCAUGUACUGGAACGCACGCUCACGUCUUCUGCUGGAGGGACCUCUGCCAAGGGAGAACAUCACUUCUGAGGAACUGCUGGUUCAAAUUGCCACUUAAUCUCUUCAAAUUGGCUUUCGUGUACACCCGUGGCACACGGACCUCAGCAGUCUGGUGCAGAGCUCUGUGCAGUGCAGCCUGAGGAGAUGCUCUAAAACCUCACCUUGGCUGCACUGAAAAGUGUGGCAAGAGAUGCAGAAUAAUGCCUGACACCUCGAAUGGCAUGCAUCGGGGCUAUUACAUGAUGAAUGGCUGUGUCUUGGGAAUUGGAAGUCAUGGGUGAUAGUUUUAUGGGAGCAGACAAGACUUCUGGAUGUAUAAAGAAAGAAGGACAUAACUCUGAAUUUAUACAAGCCAUAUUUAUUGUAAAACCCUAAUGAAGGUUAAUGCUUUGACCCCAAGGAAGGUGGUGUGCAUUUGCAAUGAAGCUCUGGGAUGCCUCACUUGUUGAUGGCACACAGAAGCUUGGCAAAUUUGGACUGGGAGAUGGACAUUGUUAUAUGCCAGUGAGCAGCCUGGCUGCUGCCAUCACAGCGCUGGGACCUUGCAGAGUUCCCUGUGAAGGCUGUAUUUGUUUUCUCUUAUGACUUUGGUGUUGAUGAUGAACAAUGGCAUUCUACCAAAUGUGGCAGAUAUCACCUGUGGAUGACCUGUGUUUUGAGGAGGAAAACCCUCCCAAGCGUUGCUCUGGUCUGCAGUGAAGUUUCACUGAUAUGGAACUUCAGGUGCUUCGUCCCCUGGUUUGCUGAUUUGCUGCUACUUGCUGUUUCUGAUUUUCUUUCUACAACAAUGUAUUGGGAACACAGUAUAUGGCUUCUUGAAGAAGGGACAUUCACAGAAGAAGCCACAAGGAAAAUCCCAUCGUGAGCCCCAAAGACACCUUCAUCUCUGUGUCUAUGCAGCUCUAGCCUGUGGCUGCUCUGUGGCCGUCCUGAGCAUGCGAUGCUGAUUCAAAGCUCCGAAUAAGCUGCACCGACCGCCUGUCUUGGCAUGACUGUCUGCUGCUGAAUUUGCUGGAGAAAUUAGAACUUGUCUUGCAGAAGAUGGACUCACUGGUUUUAUUAAUAUUGCAAAAUAGCUAGCUUUGACAAGCAGCCAAGAGUGGAGCUAGUCCCUUUCCCAGCCACAGGUUGUCUCAUAGUGAACCCUUCUUUCACUUGGCAGUGCACUGCAAAUGUGAGAACCAUGCCUCCUCCUGCCAUAGCUCUCACGUUACCCUCAUCUCCACCACACUGUCCAACUCAGCUUAGCUGAGCGCGGAAGCUGCCUCCUCACCCAAGUAAGCACUGCUUACCCAGGUGUGCCCGGCUGGAUGAGGGAGGGGGACGCCCAACAUCCUGAUGGCAGACAGAUCCCACAGCAAACUGUGUCUGUCAUAGGAGGUGCGAUGAGCCACUUAUGUUGGCCAGAUGUCUCACGGUUGGUUGAGAUGACCCUUCCCCUCUCUCUGAAGGGACACAACUUGGCUUUUCUACAGCUCCAGGUAGAGGAAAAGCACCACUGGCUGCAAGAACUGGGCUGUCUCACCUUGCUGUUUUGAGGACUGGAAACCUUUUAUGACUGGUGAGAUGGAGGCUGUAUCUUUAGGCACCAUCCCUUGGAAUGUCUGGCCCUGCAAGCAUGACUCCUCCAGCUGUCCCUAUCUCUUGUUAUUCAGGAGCCCUUUGGCACUUUCUAAAUCUCCCUCAUUCUUACGGACCUUUCCAAGGGGACCUUGACUGGUGGAAUAUGUCAGACUGCUUGCCAGCCACAACCUAACUGCAGUGACACUUUGCAGCUCUUGCAAGGAGGCUGUAACUACACGUGGAACACGGCCGAUUCAGCUGACCUGGUCAAGGUUAAUGUCACAGAGAUACCAUGAAGGGAAGAUGGUCCCUGUGAGCUCAGUGGCACUGUGGCAUCAUUCCCCUUCCAGACAGUAAAUGAGAGUAGUCCCUUCUGAGAGCAGCAGCUAGGGGAGUUGAGAGCAGAUCUCCAGGUUGCACUCAUCCAGCCUGAGUCAGUCAGGGCUCUGUUGUAGUGGGUUUGCUGAUAUAGUUGUCCAAAUUUGACCAAAACAGUGUAGAUAACACUCUGUUUUAGCUGUUGCUGAGCAGUGCUUGUGUACCAAGCAGGCUGGGGUGCACAAGGAGCUGGGGGGGGGGGGGGGGGGACGACGACGCAAUCAGGAAAGCUGAGCUCUGCUGACCAGAGGGAUAUCCCAUAGUGUGAGAUGUGCUCAGUUCAUGGAAAGAAGGAGGAAGAGGGGAUGGUCAGAGUGUGUUUGUUUUCCAAGUCCCCAUGACAUGUGAUGGUAGUGGCUGAACACCUGUCUGUUGAUAGGAGGGAAGGAAUAAAUUCCUGACUUCACUUUGUUUGUGCAUGCAGCUUUCGCUUCCUUUAUCAAACUGUCUUUAUCUCAAUUUAUGAGUUUUUGCACUUCUGCCCUUCCCAUUCUCUCCCUCAAGUAAUGGGGGAUAUCUACCCACACCUAUACUGAGCAUGGAGGAUGUGUCAGCUUUUGUGCCCCAGCAGACCAGGGUCCUGCAGCACAUCCUGGAGUUCAGAUCUCAAACCAUCCCUCCUGCCUUGCUAUCAAGCACUUCCAGAUCCAGGCUUUUGGCUCCUGCCGAGCUUGCCUGCAAGUGGAGGGUGAUGUCCUUAAAUACAGAGAGGGCUGAGAAUUUUUUUGGUGGAGUUAAGGCAUCCACAUCCAAGGAAGGUCUGGAAAAUGGAAGGGGAAUGAAGCCUGCCUGUGAGGCUGUGCAGAUAGCCACGGCUCAGCAGUGUGUUCCAGCCACAGAGCACUAAGCCAUGACAGGAGGCUGGCGUGGGAUCAUCGUAGAUUAUUAGUGCCUCCUGCUUUAUAAGCGAAGCUCUGGGGGAGGAAAUAUGUAGUGAAGUGAAACUGGUGAUUGUACAGGCACGCCAGCGAUUAAGGUUGAAGUGGGUGGGCAGUCUGUGGGGGCUGGUGUGUUAACUCCAGCCAAGGAGAGGCACAGGCUUUCCAAUCUCUGCUAUCUCAGUUUCAGCGCUGCAGACAACCCAUCGGGGUGUCAUUAACAAGCAGUUACUUCACUCUCGUUGCUGUGCUUUAAGGAAAUAUGUCAAAGGCAUUUCUGGUGAGCAAGGGCUCGGUGCGAUCAGAUUGCUCGAGCCUUCUCACAGCAUUCCAUUCAGAUUAUAAUACACAAUAGUUCAGACCCUGCUGUGUCCCAUUACUCAAUUAUGAAAUUGCUUUAGAAGUUGGGAGCUUACUGAUUGGCUCUGAAUGAUUUCAUACCCAUCAUAUUUCUGUGUGUUUGUGCUCUUGGGCUGAUUGCUCGUUCUUGUUGGUUCAAGCCGCUUCACUCUUCACUUUCAUGCACGAGAAUGUGUUUUAUACUUUCCCAUAUCGCUAAAAAAAAUUACCACUCAGCGUGCUUCGUCUCUUCAGGUAGGUGGCAGAGGCACAAAGGACCCUUGAGGUCAGUUGCUGUGGGUUUGGAACCUGAAUGUAAUUGCACAGCAGCAAGGAGAACUUGGAAUAUGUGGCGAAGUGAAUGACACACUGAAUCCUCAAGCUCUUACCCACUAAGAAUCACAACCAGUAGGCAUCAUCAGCCUAUAUAAAAUUUAACUUUGUUCACAGACUGUAUGGAAGAAGCAAGGAAAAGGUUAUAUUGACUGUUCAGGAAUGUGACUCAGCAUCACAGUGUACUGCCUGGGAGGCUGGACGUGUUUAGGAGCCCUGUGCAUGGCCAAGCAACUGGAUGCCAUUGACGUGGUGCUCGAGCCUUGAUCUGCUGUUCAAAGGGGAGAGACUUCUUAAGAAAAAGCCUGAACUGUGGUAGUCCCUUAAGAGUUUCUCCUGGGCCAAAUACUGAAAUCCUCUCUAGGUUAAUUCCUCGCUGGAGACAUUCAGAGGGUUGCACAAGUCAAAAUGAAAUGAAGGCACUGGAUCUGUCUGGCUUGUUUUUAGGGAAUAAUUUAUUUCCCAGAAUCAGCAUUUACGAUUUUUUUUUUCCCCUUCAGAUCAGACCACCAGCAGGUUUGUUUCACCCUCUAGGUGUUGUCAGGGAAUUACUGGAAAGCAGCACGGCUUUCUAUACCUUUGAUGCUCUUAAAAUUAUAGCCCCUUUUCCCAACACAGAGAUGUAGCUAGAAGAUCUGUGAAAGGUUUUAGCUCACGUUUCCAAGAAAGAACCACUAAUUUUUUGAUGAGUUAAGGCUUUGGCAACAGCAGUGGAAUUCUCUCACCUGCCAGCAGAUAAGAAUCAUUGUAAAUGUUCACCAUUCUGGGCUAUGCUAUCUAGCCAGUUGAAAAGCCAGUAGUGUGCCAUCUGAAUUUUCCCCUUUCAGAAUUUCCAUUGAACGUGGUCGUUCUGACAAUCUGCCAUUCCACUAGCACAAAAAGGUGCUUAUCUUGCAAAGUUAUUUCAUUUAUAUUAACUCAUUGUGUUUACUUAUUUAAAUAUUCUCUGCAGAUGAGACAUAUGGCAAAUGCUGGCCAACUUAGUCUCAGCUGCUUCUCAGAUCCAGAUGCUAAUAUCAUUUCAUAACUUGGCUUGUGCAGUUCAGAUCUGUACCAAAAGAUUCUGUUUUGAAUUACCAUUAUAUUUGAUAUUAAUACUAAGCAUACUCACAGCUGUCCUACAUUGCUAUUUCCACCCUCACUGGGAUUCGGAUCUCAGACAGAGAACAUAACACUCUUCCAUGUCUGCCUCUCAGGCUUUUACAUCUAUCCUGGGCUCACAGUGUAUUGUCUGCAGCAGAGUAUGCACUAAUUACCUCUGCAUCGUACCUAGCUUAGGGGCUUGAUGGCCUUUCUGGGGUCAGGUCUAACCUGGGUGGUUUUUCCAGCACUGUAGUAGUGAUCUUUAACAGGGCAGUCCAGAAAAGACUGACAUGUUGAUUGUUGAGUCUCCAAGGGCAUUUGGGACUGGAUUUCUGAAGUGUUUAGUCACCUGAAGAUGAGGAAUGGUAUCUAAUGGGAUUUUCCAAACCACACUGGGCUCAGAUCCUCAGUGGUAUUAAAUGUCUUUGUCUCGGUGAAGCUCAUGGGAGUGAAGCAGCCAAGCAUGCUGAGGGUGUGGAUGUCCAUGCCCUGUACUCUUCGACAACAUCUGCACAGUCUGUAAGAGCAUCAACACCUUUAUGAGUCUGGAGAAGCCAGCCCAGCCCCAGAAGCUGAGCACAGGACUUCCCUGAGCUGUGGGGAAUGUGCUCACACCUUGCCCCUAGUCUGGCAGAUGCACAGAGAUGAAAUGUUCCCAGCUUAGGUGCUUUGCAUGGAGUCCAUGCCCACCCUCAGCUAUGGUACUCACUGGGGGAACAGGGGGUGCAAGGAGUAAACCUUACAGCCUGCUAAGGGCAGAACUGGACCAGCUGAGCCUGGGUAAACAUCCCCGUCACUGGGAAUGGCACUUCAGUCACUUCUAUGACUCAAGUAUUUUCUUUUUCCCACAGAGCCAGUGUCACUAUGGAGAGGAGAAAGAUUAAACAACCCAAUUCCUUGUGCCCGCUGAGUAUGGCUGAGCAACACCUGUGUGUCCGUGGCCAGAAAUGUGCCCUGGGCACGUGAUUCCUUAGCACAAGAGCAGGAUGUAGGCUGCUGCUAAGGAGCAGGUCAGCACUUGAGAAGGAGUCACGUGCCUACUCUCACUGAAAGCUAAAUAUUUCUGUUGGUGACAAUCUAGCUUACCACCUUUUACAGCAGAAAACAGGAGAAAGGCUGUAAAUCCAAUGUAACCUCACCUGACCUCUCAGGAGCCAGCACGGUGGUGGUAGGACUCAGGCUGGGGAACAUCCUGGGUGCCGUUCGGGUUGUGAGUGGGUUGGCAUCCUUGGCACGAGCCCAUUCAAAAGCAGCAGGCACAGCCCUGGCCCCAGCAGUGAAAUGUCCUGGCCAGAUGUGUGCUUGAGGAGCACCUCGCCUGGGUGUUUUCCAAGGUACACCAAGAUGCAUGCUGCGCAGCGAGAGUCAGCGCCUCUCCCUCCAUCUUCUGCUUUCUCCUCAGAGAGGAUUGGAGUUUAUUUAAUCUCAGAUUUCUUGCUGAAAAACGCUCAGUGAGCAUGAAAUGCCUUUGAACUCUGGGAGCAUUGCUACUGCCUGUAAUAAGGCUGGGUAGAGGGAGACAGCCGCUUCCGUUGCUAUUCCAAACACAUCUGCACAACGCACUUCAGGAAGCACUGAAACGUCCCCGCAGCCCCGGCCCCUUCUGUAGGUGCGGGAGGAUGAAGGGCACUGCGUGCGACCCGCACACCAUCGGCACACAGCACGCAACGGGGGCAAAUAGCUGAGCUUCGUAUGAAAGUAUUUCAGCCUAGACAACAAUCAGCUGCAAGGAACUUGGAAUACGUCGGAAAGCGGAUAGCCAGGAAACCCUUUCCAUGAAGUGCAGAGAGGAUUUAGUUGCUGAGAGCUGCAAAGAUGCAUACAUUUUCCUAAAAAAACAUUCGCGGUGCCAACAUGAAGAUUCAGUGCAUUGUCAAAACAAGCCAAGAUUCUUAUUAAAACCAAUUGCUUUGGUUUGUUAGGCUACUUUACUAUGGUGUCUCUAAGCCAACAUAUGUAUUUGGGUUUAGAAGAGCUGUUGCAGCCAAACCUUAGGUGGCUGGAAAUGAAUGCGAGCUGAGCAGAUGCAGGGUAUCAUUUGCCCACUACUGUCCUUUUGAGGCUGCUUGAUGGUAUGUGGUAUGUCAGAUGUUGGCUUUCUCCUCUCUGAGAGCAGAUGGCUUGGUGAGGAAGCUGUGCAAUGCAUCUUUGUAUGAGGUAGGCAAGGCUGCGAGAACCCUAGGUGCAUCUCAUUUGCACAAACAGGAAUGUAACAGAAGAAAAUAAGAGAAAACAUAUAUGAUGUUUCUUGUAACGUGGAUUUCACAUGGCUGAAUGCUGUGAAUAAGAGAAUUUUGAAGAGAGAGGAGAUAUUUUUCAUUAGGCUGUUACGAUCCCCAAAAAGCUCGCAGAAGAAGACCUUGUGUGUCUAAAAGUUAGUCUGCUUUUUGGGAGGGCUAUAUUGGUCCAGCAAAAGACAUUAUCCCUCUCCUAUAUCCUUUAUCUCUUUUGCCCAUCAUGGCUACAGCAAUCCUAUGCUGGAAUAAGAAACCAAGGGGGUGUGCUUCUGCAGCGUGGAUCCUCUCUUCGUGGCAUCAGAGCAGAAGGAGAGUCCUUCCACCUGUGCCAAUGAUGACAGAUGGGGUAUGUGAAAUUGGCACUGGGGGUGAUGUUCUAACACAAGUAUUCAAUUAUUCUCUAGGCAAACCUAAAAAAAAAAAAAACAACCUGAAGAUUUUUUGAAUGUACAUUUGAAGCCAGAAUUACAUUUCUACUUUAUAAUAUAUAUGGUAUUGGAAGAUUUGACUGUUUUAGCAGUGUGAGGUUAAAAAAAGAAACAGUUAAGUCUUCGAGGGGGUGUGCUAGAGAAGGCAAUUCUAUCUACUGUAGUGCUUCAAAGAUCAGGAAGCUGAGAUACCAGAAAUUUUCUUUUCCUAUUCCUUUAUUGAGCACCCCGGCUCACCCAUGAACACUGUGCUUUGUGACCCCAGUAACAUCCCAUAGUGAUAACGUAUUUCCUAAAAGGGCAUUUAAGAGAAAUGCAGGACGAUGCUGUAAGGUGUUGCUAACGGAAUAUCAUCUGCACCAGGCACUGGGAAGCGCUGCUGUGCUGACCCGCAGCCCUGGCUGUUGGGAUGGCUGGGUGCUGGCACUGAGCUGCAGAGGGGCAUGCUGCUGGAGGAGGGAGGACGUGCCCGAGAUUCCCAUGCUCUGAGCAAGAGCUCAGGCUCAGCCUGCCUCCAGCGGGCUGCACUCGCACAUCUGAGCCUCAAGGCAAACUCCCAGCCCAGCUAUCAGACUCUUGGCAGCAAUUUCCACACGGGUUUGUUGUAUUUGGACUCGAGAUUCCCCCUUGACCCCAAAAGUCACACUAAAACGCUAAAAGUAUUUUCUUUACUUGCUAAAGAAAACACAGAGGACUUUAUUUAGUUAUUCAGAACUCCUCAGCCAUUCUUCGAUCACUUCAUGAUUUCCAGAGAUUGUAUCUGUGCUGUUGUCUGCCGGCUCGGGUCACUCCGAGCAGCUCGGAGGGGAAGGAAAGCUGCUACAUUUCAUUGUCCUCAAAAGAGGGGAGAAAAAUCCGACUCGCGUUCCCAAUCCAAACACCGCCGCUGCCUCGUGCAUUCUUGACAGCUAGCGAGGCUUCAUUGAAAACCGUUUGUAGCCUUUAGCUCCCUUCUAACAAGUUGGCCAUUGCCAUCGAGGAGAUUUUUUCUCAACUGAUUUAUGAGCUUUAAUUUAUAUGCGAGCCUGGAAUACUUGCUUUGGGAAGAGUUCUGCCACAAGCCAAGCUUGCACGGAGAUGCACAGCAAUUUGCAUGGUAUGUUCUGUACGCUCACCGUCCGGCCUGCAGCAGGCCAAAAAACCCCAGGUGAGGAGCACGCGUGGUUGGAGGUGGUGCUGAGUGCUCCCUUCCCAACUGGUCUGCUGACUUAGGUUGGGAAGGUGAAUUUGUCAGGUGGAUUUAAGGGGUUUGGAAAGCCUCCACGUGACCCAGCAGACACAUUUUGGAAGUGUGAAAGCACUGCUAAAGCCUGGGCUCCCGUGUAGCCUGUGCACGGUCACAUGGCGGGGCUGGGAAAUUGUUUAACGGUGUCUCAACGGGUGGUAAUGGGAUUUUCCAAUCCUGAGCUGCCUCGGUGGAGUCCGGGUGUAGGUAGGAUUGUGCUGACUCCACCAUUUCCUUUGGAAGGGAUGGAGAAUGCUUGGCACUUCUUGCAUUGGGUCAGGACUUCUGGCUCCUUGGCCCAGACAUGUGAUGGGAGGUGUGUGCCCAAGCGUGGCUGCAGCCCUGUGUGUCCCUGAUGGGAGCACGCAAACUCAGCUGCUGCGUCCCAGCCCAGGGCUGGUCUCCGGCUGAAGAACAGCGUGUUUUGUAGGUGCUUUAUUAAUUUCAUUGCUUGCAGCGCAGGAGGAACAUGCUUCUCACCUCUCCUCUGUAUCCAUUGGUUUUCUAUGACCACUUGUUGCAGUGUGACACUCCUACAAAUGGGCAAAUUGCCAGGAAAUCUGAAGACCUGUGUUAAAAUCACUGGAGUUUGGUGGAGCAAGGAACACGCUCGUUAUAUCCAGCCCUUCCUGCACUUUCAAAUACGAGUGGUAAUGCCCAGGAGAAGUGCCUGAUGGGUAGUGCUGCCCCAAGAGGAGAGGCAUUUCAUGCUGGGUCUAGAGGAGUAGGAGCUUCAGCUCUGUUGGGGUGGCUGAUACAUCCAUGGGCAGCCCUGAUGGGCAGCUGAUGGGAAAGAACUGGAAGGUUUCAGUUUCCAAGCAGAAGACGGUUUCUGCAGCAAGGCCUUUAGUGAACACCUUGAUUCUGCAAGGCAAGCAGGGUAGGUGGGGAGGUGUGCUUGCAAUGCACUGCUGCUUGGCCUUGAGCAGGUGGCUGGAGAAGUGGCAGUCCCACUAGCAUGGGGAGCUGUGGUUGGGGAAUUGGCAGCCCCGUGAGCACACAGAGCUUGGCGGUCACCCUCGCAGAGCUGCAAGCCAGCAGCAGCAGCGUGUGUACAGAGUUGCGGUUGUCUAAUCUUGACUGUUAUCAUUCAUCUACAUAACCUCAAGAUGCUUUAUCUAGCACACGGAGGUUGAGGUCUUGUUGCUGACUGCUGUGCUGGAAUAACAGACGGUGCUCUGAUAUGUACUAUGCUGUCAGCAAAGCCCAGAUGGAUCCAAGUGGAUGAAGACAGCUCUCAUCCUCACAGACAGUUAAAUGCAAGCAACAUGUCCUUCUGUGCUUGGUUCUUCGCAGCAGGUUUGUUCAGCUCAGUGCCUCUGGUCAAUAGGUGCAUCACCUCCACCACUUGCUGACAGAAUUAACAUCUAAUCAUUAAUUGCAUCUGAAGUUUGGAAGGACCCUACUACACUUGAGAAUCUCCUGUCAUUGGAGAGGUGGCUUUCUGACUGCAGGGUUCAUCAGAGCCCACUGAGUUACCCCGGCUAUGGGAGGACUCACUGAAGGACAGCUCUUCCAUGGAAAUCACCAUGAAGUCCAUGGGGCAGCCUAGAGGGGCACUCUCAGGUCCUGAGGAUGUGUGCAGACCUGAAAGGGAUCGCGUGAUGGGCAUCCCAGGAGGCUGGGAGUGUGAGUUUGGAUCCAAGCACCAGGGCUUACUCACACCCUGAUGAUAAGAAGGCCUGGGGGAGAGGCACAGGGUUAUUUAUCCAUUUGUUUGGCAGUAGACAAGGCAAUAAAAGGUGCUCUGCAAAAUGCUCAGCAUAAGGAAACCUGAGUCAGAGACAGCCCCAGCCUCCUUAGCUGUUAUCUGUGCUGCUCUAAGCAACAUAAUUCAUCUGACUUACUGAGAUCUGCUCUCUUGGACGUGACCUCCCUCCUGGGAUGCGCUCCACCCGCCAGGACCUCUCUGACCUCAUCUCCCCUUGCCCAUCCCCAUCUGCAGGCAGCUCCUGGAGGUUCUGCUCCUGCCAGGUCUUCCAUCUAUGCCUGGGACCCCCACUGCAGCCACCUCCCACCUUCAGCUCUUCUUGAGGGUUUCCUAGUCCUCCCUCUGAAAACAGGCUCUGUGGUUUGGGAGUUGCCAAACAAACAGAACCCAAGGGAAGGCUGUGGUUUCUGCUGCUCUUUCGCUUACCUAGAGCAAUAAACCACCAUUGGUGCACAGAUGUCACUACUACACAUAGCACAGGACGAAGGCAGCAGGAAGGGUUUGUGGAAGGCCAGGUGUGUGGGCACACGACCCCUGAGAGGGUCUGAGCAGAAGCUGGGACACUCUCCCCAGUGCCAUCCCCACCAACUAUGUCUAAGCAACAGCGAUACAUGAUCUAUAUUAUUAGUGAAGAGAACAGGGCACAGAAGCGGUCAUUAGAGCAGCUUGUUCAUCAUACAAGGAAGAUCACUAUAAGAAAGAUACUGAGGCUCUGGAGUGUGUUCAGGGAAGGGCAAUAGAGCUGUGAAGGGUCUGGAGCAGAAGUCUGAUGGAGAGCAGGUGAGGGAACUGGGAUGGUUCAGUCUGGAGAAGAGGAUCAGGUGUGACCUUAUUGCUCUCUACAACCACCUGAAAGGAGAUUGUUGUGAAGUGGGGGUUGCCCUCUGCUCCCAGGUAGCAGCAACAGGACAAGAGGUGAUGGCCUUAAAUUGCACCAGGGAAGGUUCAGGUUGGACAUUAGGAAAAACUUAUUCUUAGAAAGAGUGGUCAUAGAGUGGCACAAGCUGUCCAGGGAGGUGAUGGAGUCACAGCCUCUGGAUGUAUUCAUGAACUGUGAAGAUGUGGCACUGAGGGAAGCGGUUGGUGGGCAUGAUGGGGAUGCUUUGAUGGUUGGAUCAGAUAAUCUUAGAUAUCUUUUAAUGAUUCUGUGAUUCUAUGAUCUCUUGCUAUUCUUUGCAAGUUCUACAGCACUGAGGUCAGUGUCUAGCAGGGAUGGAUCCAGGUAAUGCAGUGACUGUACCUAUGGUCAGAACAUUAAACUGGUGCUCUUGUGCCUUUUCCCAGAGCUGAGUGGUUUUACGUGAUGGAAAAGUGUAAGAAAACACCGCUGUGCUAAGGCACAAGCCUUCCCACCACAGUGGGCUGCAGGAGUAAAUGAGACAGUUUUCAGAAAGAAGUAAAAUCUUACAUAUUUGUCCUGUAGGGCUUGGUGGGUGUUUUCCAUCUGCAUCAGCUUGUCUGGUAAAACCCACUACCUUUUUCUCCACAAAAUGUCUUUUCCAGACAGAUAUGCUGUACAACUCCCACAGCUCCUAUGAAUUAUGAGACUAAUGGAGCAAUCCCCAGCAUUUGAUAUGUGGGAAAGCAGCAAGGUAUUGCAACAUCUCCCACUAUAUUCUUUGCAUUCUGGGGAUGAACACUGCUAUAAAACCUAUCUAUCCUUCUCCUUACAUACAUACGUGCUCCUUCUUUGCAAGGCCUGCAGUCACAGAGCUGCAUGUCCCAGCCUUCCUUGCAUUUGGCAGCACGAGGAACAAAACCGACAGUCACUUCCAUUUGAGAACACAUCGUUGGUCCUUUCACAUCCCCUUUGUAUCAGGGAUUUCCACGUGCUCCCAUGGGAGCUGGACUGUGCAGCAGCUGAAGCAGCUCUGUGUACCAGAGUUUAAUGACAGUGAGUGUUUACAGUGCAAUUCACAGUGGAAGUCCAAAAGAAAGGAAUUAGGGAGACACAGAGGAGUGAGGUCAGGGUUUUUUUGUUCCUGAUGGGCACAAGUCCACAAGGUUAGCUAGAAUUAUUUUUAAAAUAUUAAUCGCUUUCAUUGAGUUGGGGAAAAUACAGGCCAGGCUUGUCCCUGGGUUGAAUUUUGCCUUUUGAAACUUAAAUAACAAAAAUAAUGUCAUGUGAGUUUACCAGCAUUCAGAACCUCAUCAGACUCUGAGUCGUGUUGGGUUUUCCUGGUACCUGUGAAGAUGAAAUUUAUUCAUGAGCUCAGAAUCAAUUAAUUUUCCACAUAACAGGACCAUACUUGAGCAUCUGCACCAUACUGGAAUGUCCUUCACGUUUUGUGGUUUUGAGGAAUUUGAAUACCUGCUUAAAGAAAAUGUAUGUUUCCCAAGAUGCAUUAUUAUCACGUUUUUAACCUUUAGAUACACUGAGCUGUUUCAGAGCCUGCAGCUGUUGUGGUUGUAUGGCCACAACCGUGUAAGUACAAUGGACUGGAAAACAUAAAAGGAAACAUUUUGUGCUUCAGAAAGUUGAAAAAUGAAAUGAAAAUGCAAAGAGAACUGAGAAAGAAAAGGGUUAACCGUUUAAAGGGUUGAGUUAAACAAAGCAUAUCUGUGCAAGAGCCUCCCCAAGGAAGCGGCUGAGACCACAUCUCUUGGAUCAUUUAAACCUGGACUGUACAAAGCAAUAGAGAAAAUUCUGCAGGGAACAAUCCUUCACUGGCAGGUGGGAUGGACUCAAUGACCUAAUAAGUGUUUUCCAUCUCUAAGUCUAUGGGAUGAGUCUAUAACUAGUGCGCUACAGCUUUGCCCAGAGUUCCCACGUGUUGGCUAUAAGCAGAGCCAAGCUGCACCCAACUGUGUGUUGUUUGAGUUAACUGUUUACAUGGUUCUUUUGCCACCACCUGGUUUCUUUUUCAGCAGAUUCUCUACACAAACAGAUGAUUCUUUUAUACUCCUUUUUUUUUUUUGGUAUGUAAAGCAUGUUAAAUCACAUAAUGUACCAUUAUGUUUCCUUAAAAUAGAGCAGGAGUGCAGGAAACUUCCUUUUUCUCCCCCCUUUCUGAUAAUGACCAUCUGAAUGUCAUUGUGGGAAGGAAUUAGGCUGCUGAGCUCCUUGCCCAGUUGUCCAUCGGGGUGGUCCCAGCAUCUCCUCAACCAUAUGGCAGGAAACCUCCCGUCUUCUACAGGUGUGGUGUGGCACAGGCCAGAGCCCUACAUGUCCCAUGUGGCAUGUGCUCACCUCGUGACGGGUUUAGGUCUCAGAGCUCAAAGUGCAUUUUCUGUAACUCCCAGGUUUCUGAUGGAUAAACUGGAUGCUGUCUGAUCUCUGUGCCCAAACUCAAAUUCACAAAGGGAAAGGCACCAAGGAUGCACAAACAGCAAAUUCUGAGGCUACCAACAAGCAUGCAGGCAGGGGAUGCAGCUUGGAGAUGGGAUCUGUGAGGACCUCUGCCUCUCCAAGGUCUUCCAAGGAAGCCACCGGCCCUGGCCAGUCCUGUCCCUAAUCCCACCGUGUUCAUCCCAGGCAUGAAGAUGUUCUGUGGGAGAAGUCAUGGUAAGCCGUGGUGGAAUGGGAUGGCUUCUCACACUGGAAGGGGAUGUAGGUAUGCAGCUCACCAAACUGCGGCCCCACUCCUUCCUAUUGAAAAUCUGUUUUCCAAAGCAUAACCCAGUCCCAAGGAGAUACAGCUCCUGCUGAGCUCUGUGGAUAUCCUCAGGAAGGGGGAAGAAGACUUGGCCUUCUUCUGAAGGUCUGCUUUGCCUGUAAUAUCUAGCAGCCUGUAAUAUCACGUAUCUGCUGCUUCUGUCAUGGCAAAGGACUGUACCAUUCACUUCACAAAGCUGAAAUCUGAAGAAGUUAAGGGUUAGUUCCUAGUUCAUAAAGGUAAGUACGAACUGAGGUCCUCCUCAUUUCAGGGAGAUUCAGUGCUCAGGGCUGCAUGGCAAAGUUCCACCUGAGGCCCCGUGCACAGCUGGUUAAGGUAUCUCUGACAGUUCAGAGCCAGCCAAAAGGCAAUACUUCAGUGAUAUGUAAGUGGCUCACAGGAUAGGUGCCUAAACACGUUAGCUGUGUUAGAAGUGAGCUCCAGCUGCUGGGUGUGGGGACACCUAGGGGCUCUGGCUGAGCAGAGGAUGGAUAUCCGUGCCUGGGUGAGGAGCAGUCAAGAUACCCCCACAGGCUGUGACACCAAGAGGGAAGGAUGGAAAAGCCCCAGGAGAUCUCCUGGUGAUGCUACUCUGAACUUAGCUCAGAGCCCUCCUUCCUCCUCCGUGCCCCGAGGUGAGAUAAGCUGGGCUGGACCGACAGCAAAGCACGACGUGCUUAGACACAGCAGGAAAUAGAAGCUGGAGAUAAAGCAGUUCCUCACUCCUACUCACCCACCUGACUUGAAGAAGGAAAUGAGGAUGUAACAUGCAGUUGCUUCCUGUUGAGACCUAACGUCCAGAUAGCCCAUGCUGGAGGUGAGCAUGCAUGUGGUAAGGCAAUGCUUGUGCAGACAUGAAACCCAAGUCCCCUCCUCAUCUGCUGGGUUCAGUGACACUGUGGGAGGAGGAAGAAUUUGCCCUGGCAUGAAGCACUGUGCCAGAGCCCACACACUCCUUUCCAGAUUCUAAUUUUCCUGCUCCCAUGGCAGGACCCUGCAGCUAGCUCUGAAAGAGAUGGAUGCAUUGGCUGAUGAUUUGUAUGGAUGCAUUGGUAAUGGCCUUUGAGCCAUGUGCUGUGUUCCCCAUCUGCUAAGGUGUGAGUAAAGAGGGUCUGCUGCUGCUGCUUUGCUUAGGUUGUGUCCUUGCUGCCCUGUGACACAGGUUUGGGCUGCUGGGAAGACCUCUCUGACAUCACUAACACAGUGCUGUGGGCACUCCAAGCUGACGAUCAGUGCCACAGCACUUGCUGGGGUCCCUGGGGCAGUGAGAACCCCUCACCCACCAGGAGAGCCCCUGCUGUGCUGAUCCCUAGGAGGAAUUGUCAUCCUUCCUGCUUUACAGGCCGCAACACACACACAGGCUCACAGGCAAAGGAAAUCUGGUCGGAAUGAACAUGCUAGUGAUGUUUGGUUGGCCAAACAUUGGUGGCUGGGAAGGGCAAGGGAUCAGGGCAAGGGAAUCCUGGUUUGUAACAACCCCCCUCCUGCUCCAUACCCCGGCUGACUCCUGGUCACAAACCCCGUGGUUGUGUGAUGUUUCUCCAUGGUGACUCACUGAUGGCAGAGCUCCGCUAUGUGCAGCACACACAAGGCAUGGGUCUCUCGCUCAGUACAGUAAAUUUCCCUUCAGAGCUUUUCAGACCUUUUAAAUAUUUGUUGUGAUUGCAGUACUAAUUAAAUUCAGCUGUUGCAGGUAAUAUAACUCCUAACAGACUUUUUUUUUUUUUUUAAAUAUAUUUUUUUCUCCCUUUUAGGGGGCAAGUGAGCAGCACUCAAAGUAUACGCUCUGUCCGUGGGGAUGGCUGCUGGCAGCCAUGCAGAGCUUGGGUUGAACUCUGAAGUCACUUCUCCACUCACACCAGUUUGCUGGUGCUUCUUAGGAAAGGAGCACAUCACUGUGCUGGGAGGACCCCCUUGACUCCUAGAUCUGACUGGAGUGAAGGGUCAUUGCAUCCGUCCUUGGGGUUCUUCCCAUACUUGUGUUGGGCCCAUCUGACUGCAGCAGCAUCACUUCCCCUCUCCUUCAUAAGGGCUAUCCACAGCAAACUCGUUCAACAUCAUUGUUCAGAUUUGUGGGCAAACUGAGAGGAAGAAAAGUUGGUGUAGUACGUGCAAACUGUGUUGUUGUGGCCUCGUUCUAAUGUUGUCUAUGUGUGAGGCUCAGGGCUUGCUGGUGCUCACCUUUCAGGCUGUCAAGGAGAAUUUCUGCUUGUCAAAAAUGAUGCGAAACGCCCUCUCUGUGUGUCCUCUGAUGCUUUGAAUUUUAAAGCGUAGCCCCAGGGUGGUAUAUUUAAAACAUGACCUCGGGGAAGCUGGUCCAUUGCAUUUGUAAGCUAAAGGAGAGCGCUCGGGAUGACAGCGAUAAAUAGACAUUAGGGUCGGUGUGGUCACACCAAGGUCAGGUGUCCCCCCAGGAUUUGGGCCAGUGUUGCAUUUCCCAGUUCAAACCCAUGCCUGCUCCUUUGUGCUCAUCCCAUCCGCUCCUCCAAAUGGGCGCUGUGGUCUCCUGACGUGGGCACCCCACGACUGGAGGCAGAGACCUGUGUUCCCACAUCUGCACACAGCGCCUUGAUCUUCAGAGGCUGGAGCACCUGCGAGCCCCACCGCUGCCAGUGGGACCUGUGAGCGAGCAGAGCCUUUGAAAACACCCAACCGCGGAGUUAAGAGAAUAGAGAUUGCGAUGAUAGACCAUGAUUGAGUUAUUGCAACUUAAUGAGGUACCGCUCAUCUGCCAAGCCACAGCAGCCCUGUGUGUGCAUGCACGCACAGCCCUAUUCAUCUGAGCAGUAGGAUUUAAACGAGAAUGGUUCCUGUGGAUUUGCACUGGUUUGGCAGCAGUCCUGAGGCCAGUUACCAGGCCCUGCUGAUAAGUGCAGUAUGGGGAGCUGAGAGCACGGGGCUGGGAGCAGCUCUGCUCAGCGCAGCAGGCAGAGCAGGGCUGGGGCUAAGCAGCCGGUGCAGGCAUCAGGCACCCCGGCCCCUGCCUUAUUCUGGCUUUUGGAAGGAAGUAAUGGGCUGGGAGAGAGACAGAGCUCGUCUGGAAAUGGGAGUGGUGUGCACCUGCGUUUAGCGACGUGUCCCAGAGAGUGUGACUGCAUGCUAAGCCAGCACACUGAGCGCUGAGGGCUGCUUCCUGGUGCUUCCAGCGCUUAAGUUUGGCCUCAGGAGGUCAAUUAUGCUGAUGAAGAGUGAGAGGCCUUUUGUGAGAGCUGGUCCUGGCGCCUUAGGACAAUUUUCCUUCAGUAUGGAUCUUAGCUUUUGGUUGAAGUCCAUCCACAAGUGGAACAGGCAGGGAAAUAGCUUUCUGCUCUUCCUUUCAGGUCCCGCAGCACUUGGCUCUCCAGCAGCAGCUCCAUACAGUCAUCACACGGAGAGUCGGGGAAAGCAGGACCUGUCUGGAUAAUAAGCCAUCAUUUCGUCCCAUGCUUAAAAGAAGCUCUCUGUGCUUUGAACAGGCCAAAUAACAUUUUCCCCCAUAAUUUUUUAACUUUGGGCACCUUUGCAAAUUACUCUCCUGGCUGGGAAGGAGCUCAGGAGUGCCAGAACACCAUGGGAAGAGGCUGCUCUGUGAUACUGCCAACCUGCGAAGGAGGAGGAAAUGCUGGAAAUCCCCUAAGCACGCCUGUUUUCUUGAGAUUCCCAACUCGAUUUUGCAAACUCAGAAGAUUUUAUAUAAUUUGGUUUAGUCGGUUCAGAGGUCUAAGGCACUUGGCUGUGCAUCUGGAUUGCAUCUUUGGGGUGGGUUAUCCAAAAAAGUACUCAGAACAGUAUGAAAUUCAUCCUUCGCUAGCAAAGCUGAAGGAAAACAAGAGCACGGGAAGGGAGUUUCUUCUCUCUGCUUGCUGUGCUGGACGCUGGGUGUGAACCUGUGAUCCGUGCCUCUGCCACCAGAUGCUGUGCCUUGUGCCAGCAGAGGAGACAUCAGCCCGCUGACCACCUGUCUUCAGAGCAAGAAAAAAAGGAAAAGAGAGAGAAUUUGAAAAUAAAUCUCUCAUCUGAUGUGCAAGUGCAGCAAGCACAGUGAUGACACACAAGCUACAGGGCUUUAUUCAGGCUUCCCUGUCUGAUAAUGUGGGCCUUAAAAACCCCUGACAUGAAAUGAUUCAGGUUGAAAAGUGCAAGUCAAUCCAAAACAGAAACAAAGAAACUUAGUGUUAACGGCCCUUUCAUUUUAUCACCAUAGAAAAGGGUUGCGUAUUGAUGCGACAGUGCCCACGGAAGCCCAGAGCCCAUCUGCAGGUGGUGCUAACCCAGAGCUGUCCCACAGCAUUGGCAGCCACCAGCACCUCGCGGGCUGGGCUGGGCUGGGCUCUGCCUGCAGGCGGCUGCGUUCGGCGGUGGGUGAAACGAGUCCUCUGUUUUGAUGGGCCAACUCUUCCCUUUAGAUGUCUGUGCUCACCUCCCAUUAACUUUGGUAUGAGCUGAGCUCAUGCUUCCAAGAGCGAAAUUUGGCUUAUAAUUUCUGCAUGCUUCGGGAUCCUUUGGGUACCAUAUAAAUGUAACAUGCUGUGAUUCAGUGCUAAAGAGCAGAGAAAAUUCAACCCCCCAGGAGAUACAGUGAGAGAAAAUCAUAUAGAACCUUUGUUUAAAAUAAUAAUGAAAAGAAAAAAGAAAGAUCAAGAAAAACAAUUGAGAUUCAUUCCAAAGCUGAGUUCAUUGCACAGCGAGGACAGAACGCACAUCCCUUAUCCAGCGAUAGCUUCUUUGACAUGGAUGAGUUAGGGCCCAUUGGACCAGGCCCCAGUUUUGAAGGCAUUAUUGAAAAUGUCUUACCUCCUAUAUUUCCUGUUUUUUAAUCAAACUCACUGUGCUGCCAGAGGUGUUUCAUUUACCAGGAGAGGGGUCAGCGAGGCAGCCACGAGCAACAGGAAAUAAAGCACCGUGCGGCCCCUCCCUGCCUGGACGCGGGCUGGGGCCAGCAGUGCUGAGCUCGGUGCUGUCUGCCUGUACCAUGGCAUCCUACAGCCAACGUGGGCACUGGGGGUCUGCCUGCUGGCUCUGCCAUGCAGCCCUGCGCCAACAGCGAACGGUGCAUACAUCCUCGAAUUUUAUUUUCUAUCUACUGCCGUAGUUUCUUGGCUUGUUGCAACUGUCAUAAAAUUACUUUAUUAUAUUUUCCCAUCUGUUAUGUUUUUGCUUCUUUAGAGGGGGAUGUUGCGUGAUGCUUAUAGUCUAAUUUAGCUUUAAACUUGUAUGGCUGUUGUUUAUGGAAAACGAACGUUGCAUUUGCAGAAUAACCUGUGGCUUUCCUGUAGAACCAAGGAGAAUGUCUGCAGGCAGCAAACAUGGAUGCAACCAGAUGGACAGGACUGCUCAUUGCCUCCUGCCCCAACUCCUCUGCUUUGAGUUGUGGCCUUGGCCAUGGCCAGUGGAGUUCUAAUUACUCAUUAAUUUAGCUAUCCUCCUGCAUUGCCCAGCUAAGGGCUCUCCAUCACCACUUUCACCACUGUUGAAGCCAUUCAUUCAGUCUUAGCUUGAACAACCUAAGUCUUAGAAUAAUUUGUUCUUUAACAAAAAGCGCAGAGAACAGAGCGCUGCUCUGCCCACCUGGCUUGUUUUCCGCUCUCCUCUUUGCCUCCAGUCUGACUGCUGGUUCUCAUGGUCUGCCUGAGCUGGAGAGUAAUCCCAUCCACUCCCCUGCUCACAUUGUUGGUUUUUUUUCCUGUAAUUUGUACUGCUAGUGUAUAUUAAAGAUUUUGUUCUGUUAAACUGUUGAGACUGUUAGAUGAAAUCCAGCAUUUAAUCUGGGAGUUUGGCGAUACCAAAGGAUUUCUGAACACACAAAAUCCUGCUCUAAGAAGAAAAAAGUGAAGUUUGAGAAUCCUAUUUAUGUACCUCCACUGAGUCUCUCCUUCCUGCCCUGAGUGUAUUACACUGUGCUUCUCAAACACAAUUUUAUCUCCAGGAGAGGAAGCAAUAACUGUUCUUAUCAGUGGACCAGAACCUACAUCAUGCACAUGGCAUGAGGCAAAGAAAUCCCAUGCACCUGCAACUGGCCACGACUUUGGCACAAACAGAAGCAGAGAGAGCACACGUGUAAGGAGCUGAGUCAAGGACUUUGAGCAACGAUGUGACUGCUGUCUAUCAGGAUCUUGUGAAUAACAAGGCAGCUGGGGUGUGACUUCAAAAUAUAACUGUGACAUUUGUGGACAUCAUAGGCAAUUAGUUGUUUUUCGAUUGCGGUUGUCUAACUGGAAAGUAUGGGUGAAGUUUCAGCCUCUACAACGGUCCAACUGUUUGACAUCAACAGUUUCGAAAAAGGGACUUUUACUGUAUAAAAUGAUUAUUCCUAUCUGUAGAUUGUAGUAAAAGAAAAAUCCAAGGCACGAUGUGAAACUGAUGCCUGAGUAGAGCUGUGCAAGAUCGCUUCGGUGGCAGCUCUCUUGGCUUCCACCUCUGUGCCAUCAGUGCUGCACUUCUUGUGGAUGCUGUCCUUCAGGAUUAAGAAGGAAUAAAGAGAAUCAGACACAGAAUCACUGCCUGUGCUGGAAUUCAGCUGGUGAAGACCUCAAAAUGAACUGGCAAGGAGGUUGCAUUUGAACUCUGCAGCCCCUAUGUUCAAUUCUUUAUUAACUUUUUCAAUAUGUUCUAUUACGGUCACAAUAUGGGAGCUAUCUUGCAGCUAAUUUAACACCUGUAAAUUCCCAUGGCUGGUAAUGAAACAUUGCAUAGACUAGUGGAUGAAGCAUUUGCUUCAUAUAUCUAAGGUCAUUAGUUCAGUACUCGUUAAUGCUGUAGCUUUUAUUAAAAUUUCUUUUAGUUUUGGUUUUCUUUUUGCAUCAGCCCCUUACAGGCUGAUUAAUUCUUCUCCUUCCCAAAGCUAAACACAAAACAUGAGCAUCUGACCCAGAGCACUGGGGCUAAACUCUGCACUGAAGUCUUGAAUUAUGCUGCCUGAGGUUAUCCUUUCAAAGCCUCCCCGGCUGCCAUGAGGGUGACAGUGUGACACCAGGGGACACGUCAUCGUGGCCAGGUCAUGGUGACACAAGUGACACUGCUGUUGGCACGUUCCGUUCCCUCUGCCCAGCCUGCGCUGUGUCAUCACUGCUGCGGCUGAGAAAAGCAGAGGCAGUGAGCUCCGGCCCUGCAGCUGGUGUUGCUGGAUGUUUUCUAUCCAACCUGACCCUUUCUCAACCCUGACAUGGGUUGGGUCCACCACAGUAGCCAACUUUUCAAAACACAACCAGCACAAAGCAACAUUAUCAUGAAAGUAAGCGGCUUCUGGAGAUGAAAUCACAUGAGCCGUGCAUCCAAAUGCGAUGCUGCAGCUUCUGGGAAACGCUGAGCGUGCGCUUCUUCACCUUGCAAGCUCUUGGCAUGCGUGCUGUUUAUCAAAAUAACAGCUCAUUGAAAUACAGCCCAAAGGACUGCCAGGAAGGUUGAAUGAAGCACUGUUGUUUCCAGCACACCACGGUCUCCAUUGGUUUCUCCAGAGGAGGGAAGUGCGUGGGCUCCAGGAACGCACCCCAUGCCCAAAGCCCACCUGGUUCUGCCUGCACGUGGAGCUGCCAUGGGACUGCGCCUCGGCCAGAUCUGGACAUUGCUUUGUUAGCAAAGUGCCACCUGCCAGGAGUCUGCCCCUGGGGCAUCAUUCUGGUCAUCCACAGGGAAAAGAAAUGCUGGAUGUACUCCUGACACCAUUAAUUUGAUCUGUAAACAAGCUAUGCUUUUUAUUAACAACUUCAUGCUGCAGAAUGUUAUAAGGUAUGUGCUUCUUUGUAAGAAACGCAUGCUGUUUUAUAUUCAUAUCCGUGCCUGCCUUAUAGCUGGCUUUGUGACGCUACUCAUUAAUUCAGGAUUGAAAUGUCUUUCUCACUCUAUGACAUUUAGGUGCCUGAUAUUUUUUACAAAGCUUAUUAAAACUCAGAUUUG
ensembl:lncRNA